GACGUAGGGGGCCAGCGUUGCUCGGAAUUACUGGGUGUAAAGGGUUCGUAGGCGGUGUGGCAAGUCGGGAGUGAAAUCUCUGGGCUCAACCCAGAGUCUGCUUCCGAAACUGCUGUGCUUGAGUGUGGGAGGGGCGCGUGGAAUUGCAGGUGUAGCGGUGAAAUGCGUAGAUAUCUGCAGGAACACCCGUGGCGAAAGCGGCGCGCUGGACCACUACUGACGCUGAGGAACGAAAGCUAGGGGAGCAAACAGG
rnacentral:rRNA from 1 species